rnacentral:rRNA from 1 species
ACUCCUACGGAAGGCAGCAGUGGGGAAUUUUGGACAAUGGGCGCAAGCCUGAUCCAGCCAUGCCGCGUGAGUGAAGAAGGCCUUCGGGUUGUAAAGCUCUUUCGGCCGGGAAGAAAUCGUAUGGGUUAAUACCCUGUGCGGAUGACGGUACCGGCAUAAGAAGCACCGGCUAACUACGUGCCAGCAGCCGCGGUAAU